rnacentral:rRNA from 1 species
UACGUAGGGGGCAAGCGUUGUCCGGAAUCAUUGGGCGUAAAGCGCGUGUAGGCAGUUUCGCAAGUCGGGUGUGAAAGCCCUGGGCUCAACCUAGGAAGUGCACUCGAAACUGCGAGACUUGAGUCCUGGAGAGGAAGGCGGAAUUCUCGGUGUAGAGGUGAAAUUCGUAGAUAUCGAGAGGAACACCGGUGGCGAAGGCGGCCUUCUGGACAGUGACUGACGCUGAGACGCGAAAGCGUGGGGAGCAAACAGG